rnacentral:lncRNA from 1 species
CUACCACAAGAAGGGUGCAAAUAUGAAAUAAUAUUAUCAAUCAGAUGUCUUGAGUGUUGUCACCAAAAUAAAUGCAACCUUACCACAAACAGAGUAUUUUAAAGGACUAUCAACAUAUUUACAUCUAGAUAGUUGAUAAUAGAGAUUAAACACAAUUAAGGUCUUUCCUAUUUUACAGAAUGCCUCUUAACAAAGAGUGGGUGUUGAAACCUGAUACAACCAAUCAUUUUGCUAAACCAACGGUUAUGCUGUGAGAA